AUAAAAUCCUAGUAAUACCAAACUUUUCCUUCUUACAUUGAGAGCUAGACCUUAGAACUCUAAGUUAGAACCCUUUUCUACAAAGAAAAACGUUGCCAGCAGAAGCUCGUAAAACCAAUUUCUUCUUCACCUUAGCUUAGCCAUAGCUCACCACCUAUUUCCUCCAUUGAACCCCCCAUAAAACUCCUCAAAACAUUCCAAAUUUUAGUUAAACAAGCAACUCAAAAUGGCCCCUCAACUCCAGCAGAACAGAGCUUUAUUUCCACUUCAAAAAUCAGGUUGUAAACACCACAAAAUCGUCAUUGAAAAAAGUCAGUCGAGUUCGCCGGCGCAAGGUUCUGUUCGAGAUAGGAAACCUGACCUACUUGGAUUGCUGCAAACUAAAACAAAUUCCAGCUAAGGAUGAACUGCUACAGAUUCAGGAGCUAGGAACCAAUCAAGGACCUGGUGCUCCUGUGGUUCCUAUGUAGCAAUACAAAGUCAUGUGGACACAGCUGGAACUGAAGUGAUGUGAUCAAGAUGUACCCGAUGAAGCUUCAUACAAAGACAUCACUGAAAGGCUUCUGUUUCUCAUUCAAGCUUUUGCAAAAAUAGAAAACUCAUCAUCCUCUCAAGCUUGAAGAACAAGGUUGAACGCCACUAUGGACCAAUUCCUAAAGAUUGAUUGUUGUUGUCCUAGUUGAGUUGUAACCUUGUUAUUGUACUUACUAUAUCUCCUAAAUUGCUUACUUAGAAGCAUACUGAUUAGGCGUCCUCUUGUAAAUCCUCAAAAUCGUUGAGUUUAGGUUGUGACUAGAUUUAGUCAUAAAGAAAAGUCUUUGUAA